ensembl:snRNA U6 U6 spliceosomal RNA
GUGCUCACUUCAGCAGCACAUAGACUAAAAUUGGAAAUAUACAGAGAAGAUUAGCAUGGCCUCUGUGCAAGGAUGACACACAAAUUUGUGAAGCAUUCCAUAUUUGG